UACGAAGGGGGCUAGCGUUGCUCGGAAUCACUGGGCGUAAAGCGCACGUAGGCGGCUUUUUAAGUCAGGGGUGAAAUCCUGGAGCUCAACUCCAGAACUGCCUUUGAUACUGGCGAUCUCGAGUUCGGGAGAGGUGAGUGGAACUGCGAGUGUAGAGGUGAAAUUCGUAGAUAUUCGCAAGGACACCAGUGGCGAAGGCGGCUCACUGGCCCGAUACUGACGCUGAGGUGCGAAAGCGUGGGGAGCAAACAGG
rnacentral:rRNA from 1 species